UAGUAUUUCAAAUUCUACAUGUAAUAUCUUAAAAUUGUUCUUACCAACUCGUCAUUGGGAGUGUUUUGUCUGGCAUGUUCCCCGCUUCUCUUAAAUCAGGGAAGAUAUAUAUAUGAAGGGGAUCAUGGUAGCCAAUACGUUCCCAAACCAGGUUAUUUCUAAAUCACUUUAUCGUGAUGACAAUCUAACCUAUCUUUGUUCUUUACCUGAACAUGUAGUUAACCCUUACUAUACAUUGUUUAGAUGAUCUAUAGAAUGUGUACUCAUACUUUUUACCCACAACUCGAGUUCUUAACAUCUCUCUGAAAAUAUUUUAUUCUAUGUCUACAAUAAAAUAAGACUAGCUCAUUGCUCUAGGCCAUUUCACGGCCGAAUCGAUCUUUCCUAGGAGAAAAAAAAAAUUCUUCCUUCUUAGAUCUGAAACGCUACAUUGGCUUGUUCUGGUAAUUUGCUUCAAAAGUUCAUUUAGAUAUCCUACUAGUUUAAAGUUUAUCUUAACAUAGGACGAGCUAUCCUCGUAAAAAAAAAAAAUUCUACAUACUAAUUGAUGUUUAGAUUUAAAUUCGUUCCGACUAAACGUAUGGUAGACUGAUAGUCUUUAAUUAGGUGAUUAACUUUUGCUAGCCUGGGGCGAUAUAAAACGCAAAGAAUCUGGACAGUCCAUCUGUCACUUUGCUAACUGGUACCUAAAAAUCUGUAGACGGAAUCGCGUCGUCUAAUCGUAACUUGUUUCUUACACGCUCUCUCAUUGUUAACUCUCAUUAGAAACCCCCAUUAGACUAUGACUUAAAACAAGGAAUUAUAGGGACUGUUCACCCAGCACGUGUUUCAAGCUUCCUGUCAUAGAGGGCUGGUUCCAAGCUGCGCAAUAUAUAUAGGAGCUUCAACGCGCCGAUCCUUUCCAACCUCCCGACUGGAUCACCCUCAUUUCAGCCACGCUUAAAGCGUCGUAAACUACGAUGUCAGAUCGGUUAUCCGAGGUUAGUCGUUAAGCACCUUACUUACGACAUCGGCUACUAAGUCUCCCCACCUAGAUCAAAGUUCACCUGGUACCUCUCCGCUUCCUCUAAAGAGGAGGGGACUUGCAGACUUCUGGCCUGACCGUGGCCUUCCACAAAUCCCCCAGUCUGAGAAUCGGGACAUGGUCAUUGCCUACGACUCUUAGAAUUCAAGUUGAUAUGACGAAAUAGGGUGAUUGAUUACCCUAAUAAUAGAAAUCAAACUUAUACUCCCAUAGGAGGAGACCUAACAAAAUGGAGCGAAUUCCUUUCCUAAUAAUAGAGUUGUACAGUCCUGUGAGGCCAUUCGAUCCUAACAAAUAAAGAAAUCAAAAUUAAAAUUGAAUCUAUUUGUUCCCUAGCCCUAUUCUAAAGUAAUUUUGGUCUAACAGUAUAAUAGUUUUUAACUUUGACAACAAUCAUUAAUCAUUCCAUUCAUACAUAUUUCAUUCGCAGACUGCAUUCAUACUAUAGUUAAAAAUUGCUAUAAAUGCCAAAGUACUACAAUUAUCUCUAUCAAAUAAACCCUAACAAUAAUAAAGUCUUUCAGGACCAAUGAGAAAUCAAAUAAAGUUAUCUAAUUAAAACAAAGUGGGGACUAAAGCCCUAUUGACUUAAAUAAAUGCCUCAUACAAACUCUAUAUAAAUUAUCUACUCAUAGAUAAACUUUCUUUAUACUUAAACAAAUUAGUAAAAAUGAUUGUUAACAACCAAAUGCUGAAAUCUAACCUAACACUUUAAAUGUGUGUCUAACAGUUUGAAAAUCUUCUUAUCUUGACACUUGGUGUCUAGACAAACGAAUCAUCAAAACUAGCACUUAAAUGGCGCGAACUGAACUUCAAGCAUUUACCUCAUUGCCGAAUAUGAUAGGUCUACAAGUGUUUUGCCAACGCUACUUCCCAUAUAGGAUCAUUAGCAUUUUUCUUUCCCUGCUAUUCAGCUAAACUCUUUCUUUGGACUUAUAGGGCUUUCAGUAGCCAGCUCGUUCUGGAGUUUAAAAACAGAGGUUACUUGUUGCUCUAUCAUAUUAAUUCUUAGACUGUAAUUGCCUUACACACUCUCAUUAGAAAUUCUCUUUGGACUGUAUAACUGGACCCAGGGAUUUACAGGGAGUCAAGUUUUACCCAACGCAAGCUCCAAGUCAUUCCAUAGGUAAUUGGUUACAAGCACAGCAAUUAUCUAAUGUGUCUAAGUCCCUUAAUUGCUUUUAAAGUUGAACCACUGUUCAGAACCUUCAAUAAAAAAAAUUAAAACAAAAUAAACUGUUGAACUCACGACUUAAAUCACAAUUUGCUUUCAGCACAGAAUAGCCUCUUCAAUUGAAAAAAAAAAACUGAAAAUUCUUUAAGACCACAAUCUAGGGCUUUUAACCCACAUUCUAACACUUCAUACUAUGAUCAAAAUUUAACUAACUCUAGUACACAUUCUAUAGGUUUAAAUCAAUGACAACCUGGGCAUGAUUUACAAUCAGUGGGCCUCUUGACCCUGGUUGAACGGCGUAUUCCAGGGCCGUCAACAUUGCCACCAAUUGCCCUAUUUACUACCUCAGGCGGGUUUCCUAAGGUUGCUGUCUCUCGUGGUUCCUCUGGUUCUACAGUUCUAUGGGAGUAUAUUGGAUAUGUUGGGUGUACCCAGUGAUCCUCAUCAUCAAUGACACCAUCUAUUUGCUCUUGUACGGUUUCGUCCCCUGUAGGGUAAGUCUUUACCGGGGCAUGAUAGGCCUUCAUUCUGUCUAUGUGGAUCUUAUCUAAGUUCCCCGUCUCCAAGUCCUUCAGAAGGUAAACAGUGUCGCCUGUCCUUUGUAGUACCUCAUAUGGUCCUCUGUACCUUGGCUCAAAUUUAUGACGUCCUUUCGUCUCAUGCAUUCUUUUUACCAAAGCUAGAUCCCCCGUCUCAAAGGUCCUUAACUCUCUGGCUUCAAACUCAGCCCUGGCUUCUUGUUGCUCCUUCAAGUAAGUCUGCCUCACCGUCUCUCUCGCCCUUUCAACCUCCUCCACCAAUUCCCGCUCAUAGAAGGCCGCCAUUUCGGUAAUUGAAUCCUCGCAUACAGGAUUAAGCUCCUCUUCCUGGAAAGGUUGUGGGAGCCUCAGCUCAUGUCCGAAGACCAGUUUCGCUGGAGUAAAUCCAGUACUAGAGUGUACAGUGGUCCUGAUAGCUAAGGCUACCAUUGGUAAGGUGGUAUCCCAAUUGUUCCCCGCUGUACACCUGCGUAGAGAUUCUAUUACCGUCCUAUUGAGCCUUUCUACGGCGCCAUUACUCUGAGGUCUCCAGGCCGUGGUAUUUACUGCACCAACCCCCAUAGCCUUGCAGACUCCCUUGAAUACGCAACUCAUGAAUGCUGAUCCUCGGUCAGAGAGUAUCGUUUUUGGUACCCCAAAGGUAGUGAUUAUCCUUUCCAACAAGGCCCUAACCACUGUAUUGGCACACUGGUCCUUAGUAGGAAUCAGGAUUGGGAACUUAGUAAAAAGAUCCACAAUGGUCAGAAUACUCGAAUAACCCCUUGGGGUUAUUUCUAAUGGUCCUAUGAAGUCUAGAGCUAGGUGCUCAAAGGGUUUUUCGGGUCUAAAGUGGGGAGCACUAGCGGCUUUGGCUACGCCUUGAUUCGAUAGCUGGCAGCUCUCGCAUCUGCAUAUAUAUUUCCGGACUUGUGUCCUCAUGCCAGGCCAGUAAUAGUCACCCUUCAGCCUUCUCAUAACCUUUCUAACUCCGAAAUGACCUCCAGUAGCGAUGUCAUGAUGAUAGCUGAUCACUGUUUCCCUAAAACCUGUAGGAACCACCUUCACCCAGGUACCCCUUUCAUUCUUUGUAACGAGGUAUUUGUCUAGUAACCUAUAUUCCCGGUUAUUAUACCUCUCCGUGCUAUUUGGUUUUAAUUUCGUUAACUUAUUCAUUACUGGGGCCCAUCCCUUCUCUUGAAGUAAACCUUCCCAUAUCUGAUUACUAUUUAAUAAGGGGGGCCGACGGUCUCUUACCACCGUGGCCACUACCCUCCUAUCUUGUGGCAGGUUUGGAUCAUCCUCGCACGGGAACCUACUAAGGAAGUCGGCUAUCGUGUUUUCCUUCCCCGGGACAUAAAUGAAUGUAACGUUGAAGUCUUGGAUGAUCUCUGACCACCUAGACAGUCGGGCGUUCUUAUAAUCAGACCCCUUAUUAUAAGUAAUCGGUUUAUGGUCAGUAUGUACUUCUACUCUACUACCCGCCAGGAGGUGUUUAAAGUGUUGUAGGGACAACACUACUGCAUAAGCCUCCUUUUCUAUUGUGGAAUAGCGGAUCUCAGGACCAGUCAGUCUCUUGCUAUAAUAAGCAAUUGGCCUCACUGUCCCAUUGACCUCCUGUUGGAGGCAAGCGCCUACCGCUAUCCCACUGGCGUCAGUGUUCAGGAUGAAAGGUACACCAAUUGUCGGGUGAAUUAGUAGUGGCUCGCUGGUUAAUAUUCCCUUCACCGUCUCAAAGGCUGACUGCUCUAUCAUACCCCAAGCAAAUCUAUGUCCCUUCCUUAAUAGGUUGCUCAGUGGAGCCAGGACCUCACCUGCGUUGGGAAUAAAGCGUCGGUAGUAGUUAACUGUACCCAAUAGACUUCUGACUGCCUUGAUGUUAUGAGGUCGUUUCGAAUUCCUGAGAGCGGCGACAUUAUCCCACAUGGGUUUGAUCCCAUUUUGGUCGAUUACACGACCUAGGUACUCUACUGAGUCCCAGAAGAGAUAGCUCUUCCCGUAUUUGGCCUUCAAACCGAACUUACUCAGGCGUUCGAGUACAGCGGCGAGGUCCGCUACAUGCUGCUCGUGAGAGUCGCUGUAGACAAUGACGUCAUCGAUGUACAGGCGAACGCAUUUGAACAACAAGUCACCCAGGACCAAGUUCAUGGCCCACUGGAAGACCUGUGCUGAGUUUUUAGCUCCUUGUGGCAAACGCGUGAAGCGGUAUCUCCCCCAGGGCAGAGAGAAGGUAAAAUAAUCUCUGUCACUCUCCGGGAUGUGGAUCUGGAAGAAUCCAGAAGUCAGAUCUAAUGUGCUGAAGACCUUUGCACCUGCAAAUGCGCGCAGAUUGUCUUCGACACGGGGUAUCGGGAACGGGAAGAAUUCAGUUGCCUCAUUGAUCAUACGUAGAUCCAUGGUGAUGCGGACACUACCAUCAGUUUUGGCAACCGGGAAUAGAGGGGAAUUCCACAGAGAGGUGCUCCCUUCUACUAUCCCUACUUCCUCCAGCUCGUCCACUAACGCUUUCACCUUUGAGACUAGUUUGUUCGGGAUUGGAUAUUGCCUCCUAUAUACUGGUUUGCUAGUCAGCAUCCUCAGUUUAGGGGCUGUGAUGGUGGAGCCAUUCCCCAUAUCUUUUAUAUCAUUGCAGAAGCAAUGACUGAAGGCCCUGAAAAUAUCGUGGCCCGUGUGGAUCUCGUUUAGGGGUAUCCUGGGUGGUUGAGGAGACAUUUCUAUUGUUUGUAGUGAGGAGAGGAAGGCCGACUUGGUCGGAUCCUCCUUCCUUUCGUAGUCGGACCUAAUACUACCGUCGUAGCUAAGGUGUAGUUUUAGAGCUCGGAAACCUGGUAGUCCGAGUAUGCCAUCAAAUCCUAAUUCCCCCAUGUGACAAUACUCGAAGGUCGUUCUUACCUCCCUAAUGGGCUUACCGUUCACCACUGCCCCUAUUUCUAACACCUCACUCCCUAAUGACCUUAAAGAUUUUCCUGAUAUACCUUUAAGGUAAGUAGGCUUGUCUAGUCCCUCAGUGCAUAAAUUUAAAUUGUCAAUAUUUACAAUGUUGGCCUCUGAGCCUGAAUCUAGGAUAAAUUUUAGACACUUCUCGUCCAGAGACCUCCCUUUAUUCAAAAUAUAUACAUUUAUGGCAGGUAAACUGGCCGCAAAUCCCCCUCCUGCCUUGAGGCAAGCCGUACCUAGUUUUUUCUCUGCUUCUGCUGGCAGUCCCGGAUGAGAUGCCCUGGCUCGCCGCACCCGUAGCACUUGGGGGGCGGUCUCCCUGCGCCCUGCUUCUUGUAGUCCACUCCAGGGUUCUCCUCCCUUUCACCGUUGGGUUCCCUCCUUUGUUGUCUAGGCGGGGAUGGAUUCCGUUGUUGUCUGGGUGGUUGUUGUGCUGGUCUCCUCUGCCAGUUCCUAAAGGGGGCUCCCCUCCUGUUAUCCUGGGAGUUGUCUCCGUAAUCCCUUCUCCCUGCGGGGUGUGAUGGCCACCUUCCUCCCCCACUAUUUGUACUAUUGGCACUUCUUCUUUGUCCUCUAAGGGCUGCAUUCUCUAUUUCUAGUGCCUCCAUUUUCUUCUCCAGGUCGGCCAAUUUGUUGCCCAUGUCACCCAGCCUCUGACCGUUCCUGUCGGCGCUGGAGCGCUGCGCCUCCCUGUAAUCUUCCUCCCUCUGUUCCAGCCACUGUAGUUUGCUUACUAGGGUUUCCCAGGGUUCGCCUUGGUAUAGAUGAGCCUUCUCCCACAGGCUGGGGCAGAGUCCGUCGAUGAAAACCUCCGCGAUUUCCGAGGUGCCUAUCUUCAGGCCAUCCGACUCUGCUCCCGCCGCAAGGUCGCUCACCCGCGCGGCGAAGUCUCGUACUUUCUCCCCGGCCCCUUGUCUACAUGAGAAGAACUGGCUCCUCAUCUCCCUUGUAGAGACCCUCUUUCGGAACCUCCCCUCUAGGCUCUCCUUCAAUUCUUCGUAUCCGAGGCGGAUUUGCUGAGAUUGUAAGGCAAACUCCCUCGCAGCCCCCCGGAGGUGGUUGUCCAAGAGGAUUAUUUUCCUGGCGUCGUCUAGGGCCUUCAGGUCGUAGACAAGUUCAAAGUCCUUUAUGAAUUUCGUGAAGGGGACAAUGCCCUUCCCUUCAAACUUCUCCAGGUUGUAUAGCAUGGAGGGCAGCUGGGCUUGGCUAGUUGCGGCAUUCUCUUCAUCAGCAGGCAUGGUCCUCAGUUGUUGGAUCUACAGGAACUAGGUAUUAGUCAUUCACCCUGGUUGUAACGGGAGUAUUAGGACCCAUAGAGGCGGGCGGAGUAGGAACACAAAACAGAAGGAAGGGGAGGGGCCUUUCUUAAUCAUGUUCCUAAGACACUAUGGGGUUCAUGUUUCAAAAGGAAAUUGGUAUUCAAUAACAUAGAAACCAUACAUGUAUGUGUGUGUGGAUGUGAACGCAAACAUCGCGUUGGGUAAAAAUGAAGAUCCUGUAAAAGAAAUCCGAGUGAUGUGGACGCAAACAUCGCGUUGUGAAAAUUGAAGGUUCUAUAAAAAAAAUCUGAGUGAUGUGAACGCUAACCUCGCGUUGAAAAAAAAAAGAUUCUAUAAAAGAAAUCGAGUGAUGUGAACGCUAACCUCGCGUUGUAAAAAAAUGAUUCUAUAAAAGAAACCUGAGUGAUGUGAACGCUAACCUAGCGUUGUGAAAAAUGAAGAUUCUAUAAAAGAAACCUGAGUGAUGUGAACGCAAACAUCGCGUUGUGAAAAUUGAAGGUUCUAUAAAAGAAACCUGAGUGAUGUGAACGCAAACAUCGCGUUGUGAAAAUUGAAGGUUCUAUAAAAGAAACCCGAGUGAUGUGAACGCAAACAUCGCGUUGUGAAAAUUGAAGGUUCUGUAAAAGAAAUCCGAGUGAUGUGAACGCUAACCUCGCGUUGUAAAAAAAAUUAUUCUAUAAAAGAAACCUGAGUGAUGUGAACGCUAACCAUCGCGUUGUGAAAAAUGAAGGUUCUAUAAAGAAACCUGAGUGUGAUGUGAACGCAACCAUCGCGUUGUGAAAAAUGGAGAUUCUAUAAAAGAAACCUGAGUGAUGUGAACGCAACCAUCGCGUUGUGAAAAUUGAAGGUUCUAUAAAAGAAAUCCGAGUGAUGUGAACGCUAACCAUCGCGUUGUGAAAAAUAAAGGUUCUAUAAAAGAAACCUGAGUGUGAUGUGAACGCAACCAUCGUGUUGUGAAAAUUGGAGAUUCUAUAAAAGAAAUCCGAAUGAUGUGAACGCAAACAUCGCGUUGUGAAAAUUGAAGGUUCUAUAAAAGAAACCCGAGUGAUGUGAACGCAAACAUCGCGUUGUGAAAAUUGAAGGUUCUGUAAAAGAAAUCCGAGUGAUGUGAACGCUAACCUCGCGUUGUAAAAAAAAUGAUUCUAUAAAAGAAACCUGAGUGAUGUGAACGCUAACCAUCGCGUUGUGAAAAAUGAAGGUUCUAUAAAAGAAACCUGAGUGUGAUGUGAACGCAACCAUCGCGUUGUGAAAAAUGAAGGUUCUAUAAAAGAAACCUGAGUGUGAUGAGAACGCAACCAUCGCGUUGUGAAAAUGGAGAUUCUAUAAAAGAAACCUGAGUGAUGUGAACGCAAACAUCGCGUUGUGAAAAUUGAAGGUUCUAUAAAAGAUAUCCGAGUGAUGUGAACGCUAACCUCGCGUUGUAAAAAAUGAAGGUUCUAUAAAAGAAACCCGAGUGAUGUGAACGCUAACCAUCGCGUUGUGAAAAAGGAAGGUUCUAUAAAAGAAACCUGAGUGUGAUGUGAACGCAACCAUCGCGUUGUGAAAAAUGGAGAUUCUAUAAAAGAAACCUGAGUGAUGUGAACGCAACCAUCGCGUUGUGAAAAUUGAAGGUUCUAUAAAAGAAAUCCGAGUGAUGUGAACGCUAACCAUCGCGUUGUGAAAAAUGAAGGUUCUAUAAAAGAAACCUGAGUGUGAUGUGAACGCAACCAUCGUGUUGUGAAAAUUGGAGAUUCUAUAAAAGAAAUCCGAAUGAUGUGAACGCAAACAUCGCGUUGUGAAAAUUGAAGGUUCUAUAAAAGAAACCCGAGUGAUGUGAACGCAAACAUCGCGUUGUGAAAAUUGAAGGUUCUGUAAAAGAAAUCCGAGUGAUGUGAACGCUAACCUCGCGUUGUAAAAAAAAUGAUUCUAUAAAAGAAACCUGAGUGAUGUGAACGCUAACCAUCGCGUUGUGAAAAAUGGAGAUUCUAUAAAAGAAACCUGAGUGAUGUGAACGCAACCAUCGCGUUGUGAAAAUUGAGGGUUCUAUAAAAGAAAUCCGAGUGAUGUGAACGCUAACCAUCGCGUUGUGAAAAAUGAAGGUUCUAUAAAAGAAACCUGAGUGUGAUGUGAACGCAACCAUCGUGUUGUGAAAAUUGGAGAUUCUAUAAAAGAAAUCCGAAUGAUGUGAACGCAAACAUCGCGUUGUGAAAAUUGAAGGUUCUAUAAAAGAAACCCGAGUGAUGUGAACGCAAACAUCGCGUUGUGAAAAUUGAAGGUUCUGUAAAAGAAAUCCGAGUGAUGUGAACGCUAACCUCGCGUUGUAAAAAAAAUGAUUCUAUAAAAGAAACCUGAGUGAUGUGAACGCAAACAUCGCGUUGUGAAAAAUGAAGGUUCUAUUAAAAGAAACCUGGGUGAUGUGAACGCAAACAUCGCGUUCCCACAGGCGAUCAUAUGGAAGGAACCUUCAAAGCUUAAUACACCAAUAACUAUGACAAAGAUAUCCUCAACUCAAUGCAGGUAACCUAAUUGACAACAGGGACGUUAACACAACGAAACCCCUAGCUCACAAUCCAGGGACAAUCAAGAUUAUCACAUUUGGAUACAUCUGAGGUUAUUGGUAACCAAAAAAAAAUCAGGCAAGUUUAGUAAGAAAAAGAAGUCAAGUAAUGUUCAAUAUGUGGUAGAUUUAGAAUUGAUUGACGAGUUCUACAAAAAGGAUAGCCCCAUCAAACAGAGCUAAAAGAAUAAUAAAAAAAAAACUUUACGAUUCAAUCCAACGCUUAAACAAACUCAUAGCCAAAAAAAAAUGAAAAUAAGGCUGAAACUCUUUAAAGCACAGCCUAUCACCAAGUACAAUGUUGUACAUUGAAAGCUUUUAUUAGUCUAAAUAAAAAUUCGUCUAACUAAAGUUAUCAACAUCAAAGCCAAGAUUGCAGCCAAUAAAGAUUGUUUCUUAUCAGGAGAAAUACAUAUUUGUUAUUUAAUAUAUAGCCCAAUAUUAAAACAAAUAUAGUCCUAUGUAU